rnacentral:rRNA from 1 species
GUGGGGAAUAUUGGACAAUGGGCGCAAGCCUGAUCCAGCCAUGCCGCGUGAGUGAUGAAGGCCUUAGGGUUGUAAAGCUCUUUUGUCCGGGAAGAUAAUGACUGUACCGGAAGAAUAAGCCCCGGCUAACUUCGUGCCAGCAGCCGCGGUAAUACGGAGGGUGCGAGCGUUAUCCGGAUUUACUGGGGUUAAAGGGUGCGAAGGGGGUCUUAUAAGUCCGGGGUGAAAUACUACAGCUCAACUGUAGAACUGCCUUGGAUACUAUAGGACUUGAAUCGAGUAUAGGUCAGCGGAAUACAACAUGUAGCGGUGAAAUGCAUAGAUAUGUUGUGGAACACCGAUUGCGAAGGCAGCUGACUGGGCUUGAAUUGACGCUCAGGCACGAAAGCGUGGGUAGCGAACAGGAUUAGAUACCCGGGUAGUCC